rnacentral:rRNA from 1 species
GAGGUUGGCUUCGGCCAGCCUAGUGGCGGACGGGUGAGUAAUGCGUGGGAAUCUGCCUCGUAGUGGGGGAUAACGUAGGGAAACUUACGCUAAUACCGCAUACGCUCUACGGAGGAAAGGGGGGGAUCUUCGGACCUCUCGCUAUGAGAUGAGCCCACGUCUGAUUAGCUAGUUGGUGGGGUAAAGGCCUACCAAGGCGACGAUCAGUAGCCGGCCCGAGAGGGUGGACGGCCACACUGGGACUGAGACACGGCCCAGACUCCUACGGGAGGCAGCAGGGGGGAAUAUUGGAUAAUGGGCGAAAGCCUGAUCCAGCAAUGCCGCGUGUGUGAAGAAGGCCUGCGGGUUGUAAAGCACUUUAAGUGGGGAAGAACGGGAUUGCGCUAAUACCGUGAUCCUUUGACGUUACCCACAGAAUAAGCACCGGCUAACUCCGUGCCAGCAGCCGCGGUAAUACGGAGGGUGCGAGCGUUAAUCGGAAUUACUGGGCGUAAAGCGCAUGUAGGCGGUUUGGUAAGUCGGAUGUGAAAUCCC